AGUGUAGGCGGUUACUUAAGUCGGAUGUGAAAUCCCCGGGCUCAACCUGGGAAUUGCAUUCGAUACUGGGUAACUAGAGUUUGGUAGAGGUAAGUGGAAUUCCGGGUGUAGCGGUGAAAUGCGUAGAUAUCCGGAGGAACAUCAGUGGCGAAGGCGGCUUACUGGACCAAAACUGACGCUGAGGCUCGAAAGCGUGGGGAGCAAACAGGAUUAGAUACCCUGGUAGUCC
rnacentral:rRNA from 1 species